UACGGAGGGUGCAAGCGUUGUCCGGAAUCACUGGGCGUAAAGGGCGCGUAGGCGGCUCGGUAAGUAGGGGGUGAAAUCCUGCGGCUUAACCGCAGGGCUGCCUUCUAAACUGUCGAGCUUGAGCACGGUAGAGGCAGAUGGAAUUCCCGGUGUAGCGGUGGAAUGCGUAGAGAUCGGGAAGAACAUCAGUGGCGAAGGCGGUCUGCUGGGCCGUUGCUGACGCUGAGGCGCGGAAGCGUGGGGAGCAAACAGG
rnacentral:rRNA from 1 species